CCUACGGGAGGCAGCAGUGGGGAAUAUUGGACAAUGGGCGCAAGCCUGAUCCAGCCAUGCCGCGUGAGUGAUGAAGGCCUUAGGGUUGUAAAGCUCUUUUGUCCGGGAAGAUAAUGACUGUACCGGAAGAAUAAGCCCCGGCUAACUUCGUGCCAGCAGCCGCGGUAAUACGAAGGGGGCUAGCGUUGCUCGGAAUCACUGGGCGUAAAGGGCGCGUAGGCGGACUUUUAAGUCGGGGGUGAAAGCCCAGGGCUCAACCCUGGAAUUGCCUUCGAUACUGGGAGUCUUGAGUUCGGAAGAGGUUGGUGGAACUGCGAGUGUAGAGGUGAAAUUCGUAGAUAUUCGCAAGAACACCGGUGGCGAAGGCGGCCAACUGGUCCGAAACUGACGCUGAGGCGCGAAAGCGUGGGGAGCAAACAGGAUUAGAUACCCCAGUAGUCC
rnacentral:rRNA from 1 species